UACAGAGGAGCCAAGCGUUGUCCGGAUUGACUGGGCGUAAAGCGCACGCAGGCGGCAUCGCGCGUGGGGUGUGAAAUCUGGCCGCUUAACGGCCAGGCGCCAUCCCAUACGGCGAGGCCGGAGCGAUGCAGAGGUCGGUGGAAUUGCCGGUGUAGCGGUGAAAUGCGCAGAUAUCGGGAAGAACACCCGUGGCGAAGGCGGUUCUCUGGGACGGUACUGACGCUGAGACGCGAAAGCGUGGGGAGCGAACAGG
rnacentral:rRNA from 1 species